rnacentral:lncRNA from 1 species
AAUCCGUACUGAGAGCUGCUCUGUGUCACACUCAUUUCUCUUCACCCCGCCUUUCCCAUUAACCUCUCGGUCCUCAUUUCCCAUCACCCUCCCCGGCUCUCUCCUCUACAGUCACUAUUCUUGCUUUUCCCUCCACUGGCUGGACGUGCUCCUUUUUCAGCCCCUCUGCAUUUGCUUUCGCCUCUGCCUGGAAUGGUAGUCCCCAAGGUAUACCAGAAGGCUGCUGCCCUCACCUCUUUCAAGGUUUAAGCUUAAAUAACAUUUUCCCAGUGAGGAUUUCCCUAGCCAUCCUGUAACCUUCCCACCCACCUCAUCCUCAUCUCUCCUGUAUUUCCCUCUUGCUAUCUAACACGCUGUAUAUUUUUGUUAGUUAUUUUAUUAUCCCCUCCCCAUUAGAAUGUAAGAUCCAUAAGGGUGUGAAUUUUUCUCUUUGUGUAUUACUCAUUGCUGUAGUGCCUAGAACACUUUAGCACAAAAUAAGGGCUCUACCCAUAUUUGCUGAUAAUCGCAUCCAGUCGUAUGACAUUUAUUUUUUUUCUAUGACUUUUUUUUUUCUUUUGAGACAGAGUCUCAGUCUGUCACCAAGGCUGGAGUGCAGUGGCACAAUCUCGGCUCACUGCAACCUCUGCCUCCCCGGUUCAAGCGAUUCUCCUGCCUCAGCCUCCCGAGUAGCUGGGAAUACAGGCCUGUGCCACCACACUCGGCUAAUUUUUGUAUUUUUAGUAGAGACGGGGUUUUGCCAUGUUGGCCAGGCUGGUCUCGAACUCCUGACCUCAACUCCUGGUCUCGAACUCCUGAUCCACCCACUUUGGCCUCCCAAAGUGCUGGAAUUACAGGCGUGAACCAUCACACUGGGCCCUUCCUAUGACUUUUAAAUACAGCAUAUACACCCAAGGCUUUCAAGUUUGUUCCUCUAACCUUGGUCUCUUCAUUUAACUCUUGGCCCUUUAUAUCCAGCUGCCAGCGUGAUGUGAAUGUCUAAUAGGUAUACCAAAUUUAACAUGUUGAAAACUGAAUUCUUGAUUCUAUUCACUGUUUCUAAAACCACUUCACCAGUGUUCCCCAUCCCCGAAGUUUCUUGGAUUAAAAAAGAAAAAAAAGAAAAUGACAAAUUUGAAGCAUAUUUCAUUCUUCUCUUUCUCUGCCAUCGAAUAAUCAAAUUCAUCAGCAAAUCCUGUGGCCCCCACCUUCAAAUUAUCUUGAAUAUGAUUGUUGUCACCCACUCCAUUGCGUCCACUCUAGUCAUAGCCACCAUCGUCUCUGUCUUGGAUCAUUGAACGAGCCCGUAACUUGUCUCUUUGCUUCCUUUCUUGUUCUCACGGCAGCCAGAGGGAUCCUUCUAAACGUACUGGGAUAUCAGAUGAUGUCAUGUCCUGGUCUCCACUUACCAAAAACUUCCCAGCACACAUGGAAUAAAAUCUAGCUCUGCGCUCCUCUCCAACCUCAUUCAUCUCCGUCAACAUUGCCCUCAUUCAUCCUUCUCCAGUCACACUAAUCUCCUUGCUGUUCCUCAAACCCAGCAAGGAGAGCUUCCACCUUGGUGCUUUGCCAUCUUCACACCAUCUCUAAAGGGUGUGUUCUGUUGUCCCGUUUCCUGUCACCUGUAGAUGAAGAGGCGAAGCCUCAUAGAAAUGAAUUAUGUUGCCCAAAGUGGCGGAGUCAGAGUGGGAAUAUAGGUCCGUCUGGCUCCUCAGCUGUUCAUUUGCCCCCACCUUACCCAGCUGCCUAACACUUCAUUCAUGCAUGCAUUUAAAAUCAUUUUUAUUUAGCAUCUACUAAGGCCAUGCACCAUUAUUGGGAUAGAGUCCUUUCCCUCACGGAGCUUUACAUCCUACUGAGAAAGACAUAGUAAACCAAAUAAAUAAGUAUGCAAUGUAACAUUAGAGUGAUAUGAAAAAAAUAAAUAAAGGCAGAGGAACUGAGAGGGAUAGGGUACAGUUUUGGCUAGGUGGUCAGGGGAAACUUCUCUGAGGAGUGGUAUGUGAGCAGAGACCUGAACCUACACUCAGGUCUAUCAGAAGGAUGAAUAUUAUGAAGGACAUUCUAGAAAAUGUAUAUAAAGGGAAUCAUAUAAUAAUACGUGGUCUUUUGUGACUACCUUCUUUCACUUAGCACAAUGUUUUUAAGGCUCAUCCAUGUCAUGACACGUAUCAAUACUCCAUUCCUUUUUAUGGCCAAAUAACAUUCCAUUGUAUGGAUGUACAGUAGUCCCCCCAUAUCCAUCUUUCACUUUCUGUGGUUUCAGUUACCCACAAUCAACUGCAGUAUAAAAAUAGGUGAGUACAGUACAAGAUAUUUUGAGACCACAUUCAUAUAACUUUUAUUACAGUAUAUUUUUAUAACUGUUCUAUUAGUAUUGUUAAUCUCUUACUGUACCUAAUUUAUAAAUUAAACUUUAUCAUAGCUAUGUAUGUAUAAGAGAAAAUAGUAUAUAUAGGGUUUGGUAGUAUCUGCCGUUCCAUGAAUCCACUGGUGAUCUUGGAAUAUAACCUCCUCAGAUAAGGAGGGAACUACCAUAUUUUAUCAGUUCAUCAAAUGACGAACAUUUGGAUUGCUUCCACCUUUUGGCUGUUAUAAAUAAUGCUGCUGUAAACAUCGUGUACAAGUCUUCACGUGGACAUGCUUUCAUUCCUCUUUGGUAUCCAGAUAGGAGUGGAAUUUCUGAGUCAUAUGAUAAUUCUGAUUAACCAUUUGAAGAACUGCCAGACUGUUUUCCAAAGUGGCUUCACCAUGAUACAUUCCCACAAGUGGCGUAUGAGGGUUCUGAUUUCUCCACAUCUUCACCCAUAUUUGUUAUUAUCUGACUUUUUGAUUCAAGCCAUCUUAAUGUGAAGUGCUAUCAAUUUCAUCGUGGUUUUGAUUUGCAUUUCCCUCAUGACUAAUGAUGUUGAACAUCUUUUCAUGUGCUUGUUGGCCAUUUAUAUAUCAUCCUUGGAGAAAUGCCCAUUCAGAUCCUUUUCUCAUUUUUUAAUUGGACCAUUUGACUUUUAUUAUUGAGUUGUAAGAAUUCUUUCUACAUUACAGAUACAAGUUCCUUGUCAGAUAUAUGAUU